rnacentral:rRNA from 1 species
CACGUAGGGGGCGAGCGUUGUCCGGAUUUAUUGGGCGUAAAGAGCUCGUAGGCGGCUCAGUAAGUCAGGUGUGAAAACUCCAGGCUCAACCUGGAGACGCCACCUGAUACUGCUGUGGCUAGAGUCCGGUAGGGGAGCAUGGAAUUCCUGGUGUAGCGGUGAAAUGCGCAGAUAUCGGGAGGAACACCAGUGGCGAAGGCGGAACUCUGGGCCGGAACUGACGCUGAGGAGCGAAAGCGUGGGGAGCGAACAGG